CAGAAGUUGGACAGUUUUUAAAGGUCUCUGCGCUCGCCAAGAGAAGGAAAUAGAUGCUCAGGAGUGAAAUACCGAGAGAAUCGGAUCUGGCGCCUCCUAACGCAGCGGGCAAGCAGGCGAAGGUCCUGUGUAGAUGGAAGUAUCAAAGUUAGAAAGACCAGCUUACAUAUAGCCUGAGUGUCUGGCUUUGGGCAUUUGGGGAAGACUUCGUGUCUAAAGUUCUGCAUCUUCCCGUGCUAGGAUCCGAAGGAAAUUUGGAAAUAACAGCAAGCCUUGGAAGUCUGACCAAGCUCAACUAUUUUGAGUUCUUUGAAGAAACCUGCUUUCUCUCUCCUCAGACCUUUGCAUAUGCUGAUCCUUCCACCAGGAGGAGUCUCACCUUUCAGUUCUCUCAAUAGCUCUCUCACCCUCUUGGAACAAGCUUUGAUGUCUUCUCUUUCCUGCCCCCCUCAUAAUGCUUAUCACAUUACCUUAUUGUUGCCUAUGCUCUCAGCUGACUGGGAGCCCUUGGGAGGGUGGGGACCCUGUGUGCCUCAUGGAUGUAUCUCCUUACCUAUAGCACAGGGCCAGCACCCAGUUUAAAAGUACAUGUCUAAGGGUACCUGGCUGGCUCAGUGGGUAGAGUGAGUGACUCUUGAUCUCAGGGUGGGGAGCUCAAGCCCUACAUUGGGCGUGGAGCCUACUUAAAAAAAAAAAAAAAAAGGUACCUGUCUAAUGAAAAUCCUGUAUCCCUACUGUGCCUGCCUUAAUCCCCAAAUUCCUCACCCUUCCAGAGAUCUAGGCUAACAGUACUGAGAUCUUUCUCUUUUCCUAGCUAGCCAUUAUAACAUCCUUUGCAGAUGGAAUCAGUGGCUUUUUAAACCUUGAAAUGACCUUCAUUAAUUCACCAAUUGCUUGAGUACCUCCUUAGAUUCAUACACAGCCCAGCCUUUGUAGGAAAGCCUCCUCUUCACCCCAUAGCAUCUGUUCAUGGCAGAGAGCAGGCCUUUCUCCCUGGUGAGGCUAGGAUGUUCUGAAGCCGGAUGGACAGUUGGCUCUUACCCCAGCCCAAGGAGAGAAAUCUUUGAGACCACCCUUUGCAAACUGAGAGCAGGUGAGUUUGCCCAGUUUACCCUAGCGCAAAACUGUUUCUCAUUCAGGGGGCGCCUGGGUGACUCAGUCAUUAAGUGUCUGC